rnacentral:rRNA from 1 species
UACGAAGGGGGCUAGCGUUGCUCGGAAUCACUGGGCGUAAAGCGCACGUAGGCGGACUCUUAAGUCGGUGGUGAAUCCUGGAGCUCAACUCCAGAACUGCCUUCGAUACUGGGAGUCUCGAGUCCGGGAGAGGUGAGUGGAACUGCGAGUGUAGAGGUGAAAUUCGUAGAUAUUCGGCAAGAACACCAGUGGCGAAGGCGGCUCACUGGCCCGGUACUGACGCUGGAGGUGACGAAAGCGUGGGGAGCAAACAGG